CUGCACAGCUUCACAGAAGAUUAUCUGGAUCUGGAGAAGAGGUGGGUGUCUCUGGGAAAGAAGCAGAGAGGUGAGUGGCACAGAGGCUGUGGUGAGUGAAUCUGAGGGUUUGUAUCAUCUCUUAGGCCUGAACACCAAUGCCUUCACCUCAACACGUGAAGGGCGUGCUCACCGAGCAGCGGAGGAGAAAGGGCAAAGGGGAGGGUGAAGUCCAAGUUAUUGCACAAAAGGCUGUGACCACUCCCAGGCUGAUCAUCCCUGGGGCUGGGAGGAAAGUUAUUUGCAGAGGAGAACAAGAUCAGGACUCUUCCUAACAAAGGCUGAGCCCACAGACAGAAGGGAUUAGCCUUAUCUCAGAUGAGAUUUUGGACUUGGACUUUUGAAUUAAUCCUUCAAUGACCAUAGUUUAAGAAGAGAUAUCUUGAAAACACGGAAAGAGAAAAGUCAAUACAAUAUUUCCUAAUUUUUUAAGAGGUCAGAGAAGGGAGUUACUGUGUGGCCUGGAGCAGGUGAUUCUGACUACCAAGGGAAAAUUGGAGUACUACUCCACAAUGGAGGGUCUGCAGGAUGGACCCGGCAGCUGGUGCCCUGUGUGAGGAACGCUGCAACGGACUGCGACAGAACCCUCGAAAACGAAGGUGAAGAGACUGUGCAGUCAUGUGACAGACACAUCAAACCAUACCAUGGCGUGGCUAAGACCCAAGCUGGUAUCAAAAAUAAAGGAAACGACGCUGCAGGACCCGCAGCCCCAGACGAUGUGGCUUCCUCCGAUGACACAGGCCCCAGACAUUACCUGGGGGAAGCUGAAGAAGACAACUCAGGAGGCCGAGUGAAUCCUUCUCUGGACACAGACACCAUCACUCCAGAUAAUCUGUUCCUUGCUAUGCUCUCUAUUGUACCUUGCAACUCUCAUAGGGUAUUCACCUUUCUUAUUCUCUCACUUUGCCUGCAACUCAUACCUGCUACAUUCUAUUGGGCCCAUCUUCUAAGAUCUGCCUUUCUUCCAACCUGUUACCUUGGCAGACACCCCCUUCCCAUCCUCUAAUAAUGUAACUGCUUAGCUGGGAGGGGUUGACAUGCCCCCAGUGGGGUUCCUUAAUAAUGGCACACAUUGAACUGAGGUGCCAAGUAACACUACAUAUCUCUCCUUGAUUGGAAAAGAAUAAUAGUGACUAUACUAAUGUUUGACUUAUGUUAUUUACUAAUUCUAGGAUGCAAAGCCGGAACACGAGCUGUAACCGCUGCGCCUGUCAAAUCUGUCACUGCACACAUCUGUACUAUUCAAUCAACAAAACCCGAUGCUAAAAACAGAAAAGGGGGAGACGCGGGAGAUCGGUCAGAGUGGUAGGAGAAGGUAUAGGGAAAGGAACAGACCUUCUGAAAGGCGGGAAGGCUCUGGAUAGCUUCAGGGAUGAAUAAGCUGAAGGCAGCUGUUCUCUUACCCUGAGGCAGAGGGCAAGGGGUAGGUAAGGAAGUAUAGGGGAAUUUGGCAUAAACAGGCUUGUUUACUUACAUUGUCCGGAAACCGACUUUGAUCAUCAGGGCAGGAGACUGCUCCCUGAAAGGGGGAAUAAUAAUGUUAAUUACCCACAGAUUGUGUUGGCUCCAGGCUUUCAUUAUUUUGUCUGUACUGAAUAAAAGCAAGCAGCUCCAGCUGUUCGAGACUGCUCACUCUUCAGCCAUUAGUGCUGGGCAUUCCUGUAGCUGCUCUUACACUGCAUGCCUGUGGCUGAGUACUCCUUUCAUCCGUUGCUUGGCCAGGGUCUGUGGGAUGGACCCCGCAGGUAAGGGUUAUCAAAAAAAAAAAAAAUUCACAGGCAGAUAGGAACACCAUGACCAUACUAAAAGGCUUUUUUCCCAUUUUAGUCUUGCAAGUUUGUAAAGAAGGAUAUGAAGCCCCUAAGAAAUCAGUGAAACACUUU
rnacentral:lncRNA from 1 species